AAGAAGAUUUGCGCCUAUUCCCAGGUCCGUUCACAUUCGGAUUUUAUUGUGAAUAUUAAAUAUGAUUCGUCUGUGAUGGUCUUGUGGGUCGGUCCGAUCAACAA